UUGAUGUUGAAAAAACGUCCACAAACGACCACAUUUGAACUAAACAGCCCAUCCACGGAGGUCCCACAGAGGUCAACAUUAGACGUCGAAAAAACGACGUCGCCUGGCGAUACAAAACAACCCCUUCAGUGGACUGAAAUUUGACGACCAAUAAUGACACAGAAAAGACGUCACUCCGACGGCAUUGCGCAGUGUGAUCGUGUAUACAUUUCCUGCAGCUGUCAUAGGCAUCCAAAUGAUGUCCAAAAAAAUUAUGAUGUCCCAAAAAUGAUGUCCAGAAUUGGUCAUGUACCGACCUGAUACAAACGUGAUCUGCACGUCUAUCCAACGUCCAAUAUUUAGUGGGUUGGUUAUUCGUGGCACUUUGAUCAAACACUGAAACAAUUUGGUUUACCAUAAGUAAACUGAGGAAGUGUUCAUUUUUAUUUCAGUAUUUUUUUUGUCAUUAUUUUUCAAUUAAUGCCAUCUUCAAAUUCUCUUGAUUUGUCUUUCAGGGUUCAGUAGCAGACAGGAGAGUUCUGGUCUGAUGUCCCCGUCUCUGCCCCUCGAAAUGCAUGAAGGCGACAGCGAGCUGGGACUUGUAAAGGAUCGUUCUAAAUCUGAUAAGAAGAAGCUGUCAUUCAGUAGCGGACAGGGGGGCCGUCCUGGUGAGCUAUCCCCGUCUCCGCCCCUCAAAAUGCCGGUGUGGGUGUCAGAUUGACUUGGCUGCCAGAUCGACUCUGGGUCCUAGAUGCGCAAUAAUGACGCACUUCCUGUAAACGCUGUCUUUUAAAUGCGCAUGCGCGUUUCAUUCAUUCCCAUGUUAUUCCCAAGUAUUAACAAUCUCCUUUUGAUCGUUAAUACUAAAAGAUCAAGUUUAGUAUUAAACUUGAUCGUUUCUAUGUGGCAUUCAGUCGGCCAAUGCUGUGGUAAAGUGUGUAAAGUAUGACCAAGUGUUUCUUUCGGUUCAAUAGAUAGAACUUUAUCAAUCCCCUGUAGGAGAAAUUUGUUAAUGUUUGUCCCUAUAAAACAAUAAUGGUAAAAUAAUAAAUACAAAACACGACGGUAACUGAGUAAGUCAAACCGUCCAAUCUGAAGGCUCUACUUAAGCACUUCCCCUACUCACUUCCACCAAUGCAAAGUGAACAGAACUGAGUUGGGGAGGGCGUAGCCUAACUAGUUUGUGUACGACCCAGAGAAACGCAACUCAAAUUCAAUGUGAACAUAUAUGAGGCUUUAAUAAAAUCCCGGACGAUUUUGAAA